rnacentral:rRNA from 1 species
CCCCACCCGCAGCCCAAACCCUAGCUCAGUUUCCAUCCCCCCAUCGCACCACUCCUUCCUCGUCCCCAUCUCGUCGCCGCCGCCACGUACGGCGGCUGAUCCCGGCGACAUCCAGCGUAAUCUGCGGCUCCCAGCACACCACCGCGACCCAUCCCCUCCGCUCCAUCCUCCCCUCGGACUAGAUCCGGCACGCACGUCCCCAUCGACCAGAUCGACCGCACCCUCCAUCCCAGCCCCGGCUAUGCUGUAGAUCGAGUACAGCAUCCAUGGCGUCGCGGCUGGCGAGUCCAUCUCCUCCAUGGUGUCCUCCUCCGCGUCCUCUGCUCUAGCAGCCAAAGAGCGGCGGGUCCAUCUCCUCCAUGGUGGCCUCCUCCGUGUCCUCCGCGGCGGCCGCGGCCGCGGACUACACGCGCCGGGGCGAGGCCUUCGGGGCCAACAUGGUCCCUUCUACACGCCUCCCUCUACCACUCGCUCUGGCCCCCUUGAUACAAAUCCUCUCCUUCCUUCUCUCCCUUAUUCUCUCGUUUUUCUCUUGGUAGGAUUCGAUCUGGAGCAGCGACCGCCCUCCACGGACGACGGCAUCACCAUGGAGAUGGAGCCGCUGCAACAUCACCAACUCACCCCAUGCAUGCAGUGCAGGCAGAAGAGGAUGAUGCCCAGCUAUGGAAUUUGAGCGACAGCUGCUCAAGAGAUCUGGCCAAAAUGAGACGCUUGUGUUGUCACCUGUAGGGUCACUGUAUUUCAGGCGACUCCAGUUCUUCGGCAGUUAAAUGGAAGUGCCCGCCCUACCAACAAGAUGACGACGGCGACGACGACGGUGGCGCCUAUUCAAACUCUCACAACGAAAUCAACUCAUGGAAUAGCCUUUCCGAGGUUCGUGAAGAGAGAUGAUCUGGUUUUGUGAAGGAAGGGCGAGAAAGAUUAUGUGGGGAUCAGAUUGUCCAUGGCGACCUAGGAGGAGCAGCACCAUCUCAGGUUGCUCCGGUCUAGUUGUGUGAAGCAACACGCAAGGUCUGCUACUGCUGUUGUGCUCCCUUGAACGAUCUGGUGAAGGACAAUUUGGUCCAUAGGAGGCGCACGCCUAGGAGAAGAGAGGGCUCAUUCCACUUGUUUGGAAGAGAAGACAAUGAAGCAUGGUGGUUAUCUGGAUAAUCUGCCUUGUGUUUUGGUUGUACUUUGUACCUAGUUAUAUUGUAUUCUGUAGUAGUCAGCACAUUCUGGAGCAGAAUCCAGUGAAGUUGUAAAAUUGUAAGAAAUGUGAGAAAUAUACUUUGUACCUAGUUCUGUUUCAUUUGAAAUAUUUGUCAUUUAUGUACUGUGAGAAAUGGAAAGC